rnacentral:rRNA from 1 species
CCUACGGGGCGCAGCAGUCGAGAAUCAUUCACAAUGGGGGAAACCCUGAUGGUGCGACGCCGCGUGAGUGAAGAAGUAUUUCGGUAUGUAAAGCUCUAUCAGAAGGGAAGAUAAUGACGGUACCUGACUAAGAAGCUCCGGCUAAAUACGUGCCAGCAGCCGCGGUAAUACGUAUGGAGCAAGCGUUAUCCGGAUUUACUGGGUGUAAAGGGAGCGCAGACGGCAAGGCAAGUCUGAUGUGAAAGUCCGAGGCUCAACCUCGGGACUGCAUUGGAAACUGUCUGGC